rnacentral:rRNA from 1 species
ACUCAAAGGAAUAGACGGGGGCCCGCACAAGCAGCGGAGCGUGUGGUUUAAUUCGAUGAUACGCGAAGAACCUCACCCAGGUUUGACAUGCACGUGGUACUGAGAUGAAAGUCGAGGGACCCUUCGGGGAGCGUGCACAGGUGUUGCACGGCCGUCGUCAGCUCGUGCCGUGAGGUGUUGGGUUAAGUCCCGCAACGAGCGCAACCCCUGUCGCCAGUUGUACUUUUCUGGCGAGACUGCCGAGAAAACCUCGGAGGAAGGAGGGGACGAUGUCAGGUCAGCGUGGCCCUUACGCCUGGGGCUACACACACGCUACAAUGGGUGGUACAAAGGGUCGCGAAGCCGCGAGGCGAAGCUAAUCCCAUCAAAACCAUCCUCAGUUCGGAUUGCAGGCUGAAACCCGCCUGCAUGAAGCCGGAGUUGCUAGUAACCGCAGGUCAGCAUUACUGCGGUGAAUACGUUCCCGGGCCUUGUACACACCGCCCGU